rnacentral:tRNA from 1 species
GGGCGAGUAGCUCAGCGGUAGAGCGCCUCCCUUACACGGAGGAAGCCGGGGGUUCGAGCCCCUCCUCGCCCA